GGGGACCUGACCCCUUCCACCCAGGAGUCUGUCUGCCUCCUGACACUGUCCAUGCCGCCCAGGCUGCUAGCCCCCAGGGGCACCUGCAGGCCAGCACCUAGCUGCCCUCAGCCCCCCACCACUCAGCUUCCCCCGUACCCAGCCUUUGUGCUCCUGGAUGCUCAAAGUCUGGAGGGGGCCGAGGCAGCAGGGGGCUGGUGUAUCAGUGCUGCCCACAGCGUGCACACACCCGGCUACACCCAGCCGGCCUGUGACAGCUCCAGGGUUCAUUCAGCCCCAACCCUGCUCUGAGAUUGGAGUGGGUGCCAGGAGUGGCGAGCGGCUAGGCAGUGGGAGCAGACAACCCUGAGCCUUCGCGGGAGGGCCUUCCGGGUCCUCGAGGGUACAGAGAGCAGAAAUGCCAGAGUCCCGUGCCUGGGAGGGUGGGGCUCCCCUGGCCUCCUGGAGCUUGCAGACAGCCCUGGCCACGCCUCCUCACAGCCUGGGUUGCUGCAGAUGAGAGCGGCGAUGGGACCAGGGUCCAGAGCAAUGGAGGCUCCGUGCCUGGGAGCGGGUUCUGCCGGCUGCGGAAGGAUAGGGGUGGCACAGUCAGCCGCCUUGGGGACACAGGACAUAGGGGACCCACCACCGCCACUGCCGCUCCCGCAGCAGCUCGUGCCGCCACCACCCACGCCUCCUUGCUGCAGCCAGCGUGACGACAGCGGCUGCUCCGGACCACCCGCAAGCGGCCAUCACGGCAAGGGACUAACCGUCGUGUAACUACUGUCUGCCACAAAAAUCUCUAUUAUUAUCUUUAAAGGGAAACUUCUUCUUAAACUAAAAAUGCUUUUGUUCCUAAUAUAUUGGGACAUCGGGACAUUUCCUGGGUCUGUUGUUUCCUGGGUCUGUUUGGUAAACCUUGUUAACCUGUUCCCUUCACUAUAAACAUCCUGUGACUUAGAAUGCCUAGCCUCUUGGGAAGGCAUCCCAGCAGCUUCCUCAUUUUACCCAGCCCCUGUUCAAGAGGGAGUCUCUCUGGUUCCAACACCUCUGACAGUUUUGAAGAGAAAAAAAUAAUCCUCUUGAAUAAAUCUUCUGAUAAUUCUCA
rnacentral:lncRNA from 1 species